rnacentral:tRNA from 1 species
CCCUUGCUGGUUUGCUGACCAGAAUUCCUGGUUUUCAUCCAGGCUACCCAGGUUCAAUUCCUGGGCGGGAAA